rnacentral:misc_RNA from 1 species
UCUAGAAUAGUACAGUUGUUGUUGUCAUACAAAAAAGAAGUGUAAAAACUAAGAUAAGAUGCCGUUAGCUGUCAGAGAUUACACAUGGGAAGAAACGGAGAAAAUGCUGUUUCUCACUGUCCCUUUGAAAGGAGUUAAGGCAAACAAAGUGGAUAUUUUGUCAUCAGAGGAUUACAUCAAGGUAAGCUAUCCACCCUAUUUCUUUGAAUGCUUUUUACAUGAAAGCGUUGAUGACAUCUCAAGCACAGCCCAAAUUGGAAAUGGGGCAGUUGUGUUUAAACUUCUCAAAAAGGAAACCCAGCUUUGGAACGAGUUACACCAUGAUAGAUCAGAUGAUAAGGAAUUUACAAAACAAAAGAGAGAUGAAGCGAUCACAAGAAACCAGGAGAGAGCUGAACUGUCUGCCAAAGAGAAGGCUGAGAAAAAGCAAGAGCGAGAAAAAUAUGCCAUGAAUGAAAUGAUGCGGCUUGAACAAGAGGAGAGAGACAGAAUUGCAAAUAUAAAAGAAUCAGAAAAGAGGAAAGCAAUGGAAGAACUAGAAAUAUGGAAAGAGCAGCAGAGAGAAGCCGCUGAACUGGAAAAAAACAGGAUUUUGGAGGAGGAACGAGCAAAAGAAACUGCUCUUAAGGAGGAGAUGAGGAAAGAAAAGAAACGGAGAGGUAUGUUGUUUCUUGUAAAAAGAUGCUGUAACAGUUUCUAGCUUAUUAGUUAUUGAAAAUUGUUUAUUUUCCUAUUAGUAAAAGUUAUUUUACUAUGACCCAAAGACUUAAGUACCAAGUUAUGCCUACUAUCCCUCCAGGAAGGUAAGCAGAUAACAAGAUUUGUAUAGGUAUUGCAAUGAGAUUAAACCAGCGUUUUUCUUACACAGUCAUCGUGUAUAAGGUAAGGUGAGUACUGUAGUUAGACUGUAGGUCAUGUUUUCCUGUCCCUGAAGGUCAGCUCGGGGCUCUUUGUGUCAUUUCUUAGGUCUCUAAUCUAGAUCUUUUUUUUUUGUGAUUUCAGGUAAAAACAUAUUUGAAGAAGCCAGCAAUGGAAUACCCACACGAGAUGUAGGUAGAAUUGAAAUAAAAUUCACACCACGAGUGUUCCCCACACCUGUUCGAGAGUCACAAACACACCUUGAAGAAGAGUGGUUGAAAAAGCAAGCAGAGGCUAGAAGAAUUACAGAAAUUGAAGACAAAGACUUAACAGAAGAGGAGAAAGAUCCCAUUUAUCUCAGAGACAAAGGAGUUUCCUUUUUCAAGUCCGGAAACUACCCAGCAGCAGUGAAUGCCUUUACAACCGCUCUUCGUUUUAAUCCAAAGAUGCCAUCAUUGUAUUCAAACAGAGCUGCUUGCCAUUUAAAAACUAGGAAUUUCUUCAAAUGCAUUGAAGACUGCUCCAAAGCCAUGGACCUAUUAAGUCCCCCAGUUCCCCAAAAUGCAGACAGCAGGUGUAAGGCACUUAUUCGUCGAGGCACUGCUUUCUGUGAGCUGGAGAUGUAUGUAGAAGGAUUGCAAGAUUACGAGGCAGCUUUAAAAAUUGAUCCAAACAACAAACAAGUUCGAGAAGAUGCUGAAAAAAUGAGAAAAAUAAUUCAGUCAAGUUCAGAAAGCUGAUGAUAUGAAAACGUUUCUUGCUCACUCUAACUGAAACAUCUGGCAACCAUCUUGAUGCUUAGAAAUCCAGUGAUUGUGACUGUACCAUACAGUCUAUUUUGACAUUAAACAGUGGGAAAUGAUUUCUCUCCAAGUUGUGAUAGCAAUCUGAAUCAUGCUGAUGAUGUGGAAAUGUAAUUGUUGCAACUUUAAAAAGUUACUAUUUAUUACUUGAUGAGCAGAACUGCAAUGCAAAACAUUUGUUUCAAAUUUUAUUUAUUACAUACAUAAUAAAUGUAAAAUAAAUGAG